AGAAGCUACCUGAAAUCUGACCUUUGUUUUCUAUUUUUUCCUUAUAUAGGAUGAUUAUUUCAGAAACUGGAAUCCCAACAAGCCCUUUGACCAAGCUCUGGACCCAUCCAAGGACCCCUGCCUGAAGGUGAAAUGCAGCCCUCACAAAGUGUGUGUGACUCAGGACUACCAGACGGCCCUGUGUGUCAGCCGCAAGCACUUGCUCCCCAGGCAGAAGAAAGGGAGUGUGGCCCACAAACACUGGGUUGGACCUUCGAAUCUGGUCAAGUGCAAGCCCUGUCCCAUGGCACAGUCAGCCAUGGUCUGCGGCUCCGAUGGCCACACCUAUACA